rnacentral:rRNA from 1 species
AGAGUUUGAUCCUGGCUCAGGACGAACGCUGGCGGCGUGCUUAACACAUGCAAGUCGAGCGGAAAGGCCACUUCGGUGGUACUCGAGCGGCGAACGGGUGAGUAACACGUGAGUAAUCUGCCCCUGGCUUUGGGAUAGCCACCGGAAACGGUGAUUAAUACCGGAUAUGACAGCUUCUCGCAUGAGAUGGUUGUGGAAAGUUUUUCGGCCAGGGAUGUGCUCGCGGCCUAUCAGCUUGAUGGUGAGGUAAUGGCUCACCAUGGCUUCGACGGGUAGCCGGCCUGAGAGGGUGACCGGCCACACUGGGACUGAGACACGGCCCAGACUCCUACGGGAGGCAGCAGUGGGGAAUAUUGGACAAUGGGCGGAAGCCUGAUCCAGCAACGCCGCGUGAGGGAUGACGGCCUUCGGGUUGUAAACCUCUUUCAGCAGGGACGAAGCGCAAGUGACGGUACCUGCAGAAGAAGCACCGGCCAACUACGUGCCAGCAGCCGCGGUA